rnacentral:snRNA from 1 species
UCAUGUUCUGUAAAGGAUCCA